AUACAGUAUUAUCUAAUUAUGUUUCAAAUUAUUUCAUAAGUUAUAUUCUUAGGAAACUCCUGACAUAACUGAGUGAAAGUUACUAAUUACACGUGAAAUGUUUUAUUUUCGCAACAAAUUUCAAUGUUAAAGCCCGAUAAUUGAACUAUAUAGCUUUUUUAUUAGCAUAAAUAUUUACGCUAGUAACUGCAACCCACAAGCAAAACCUCUUUCAACCAUGGGCAAGGAAAGGACUACCGUCAACAUCACCAUCAUCGGACACAUUGCCUGAAUAUUUCUUCAAACAACAAAAUGGACUUCUCGAUAGAAAGAAUGAUUACGGAUGGAUUUUCUACGACUUGAUUUAUGAAAUACACAAAUUCACACACAUGUAGCUACAUUCAAACACAUACACAUUAACACACUAAAAAUGUUUGGCAAUAAAGUUUCAUAUUUCUAAAUUCCAA